UGAGGAGGAAGCCCCGGCUAACUACGUGCCAGCAGCCGCGGUAAUACGUAGGGGGCUAGCGUUAUCCGGAUUUACUGGGCGUAAAGGGUGCGUAGGCGGUCUUUCAAGUCAGGAGUGAAAGGCUACGGCUCAACCGUAGUAAGCUCUUGAAACUGGGAGACUUGAGUGCAGGAGAGGAGAGUGGAAUUCCUAGUGUAGCGGUGAAAUGCGUAGAUAUUAGGAGGAACACCAGUUGCGAAGGCGGCUCUCUGGACUGUAACUGACGCUGAGGCACGAAAGCGUGGGGAGCAAACAGGAUUAGAUACCCUGGUAGUCCACGCUGUAAACGAUGAGUAC
rnacentral:rRNA from 1 species